GGGAAUGUGGCUUAGUGGUAGAGUGCUUGCUUAGCAUGCAUGAAGCCCUGGGUUCGAUUCCUUAGUACCA
rnacentral:tRNA from 1 species